GAUGAACGCUGGCGGCGUGCCUAAUACAUGCAAGUCGAGCGAACGGACGAGAAGCUUGCUUCUCUGGUGUUAGCGGCGGACGGGUGAGUAACACGUGGAUAACCUACCUAUAAGACUGGGAUAACUUCGGGAAACCGGAGCUAAUACCGGAUAAUAUUUUGAACCGCAUGGUUCAAAAGUGAAAGACGGUCUUGCUGUCACUUAUAGAUGGAUCCGUGCUGCAUUAGCUAGUUGGUAAGGUAACGGCUUACCAAGGCAACGAUGCAUAGCCGACCUGAGAGGGUGAUCGGCCACACUGGAACUGAGACACGGUCCAGACUCCUACGGGAGGCAGCAGUAGGGAAUCUUCCGCAAUGGGCGAAAGCCUGACGGAGCAACGCCGCGUGAGUGAUGAAGGUCUUCGGAUCGUAAAACUCUGUUAUUAGGGAAGAACAUAUGUGUAAGUAACUGUGCACAUCUUGACGGUACCUAAUCAGAAAGCCACGGCUAACUACGUG
rnacentral:rRNA from 1 species